rnacentral:rRNA from 1 species
AUUGAACGCUGGCGGCAGGCCUAACACAUGCAAGUCGAGCGAGCGGCGGACGGGUGAGUAAUGUAUGGGGACUGCCCGAUAGAGGGGGAUAACUACUGGAAACGGUGGCUAAUACCGCAUACUAUCGGAUAACCCAUAUGGGAUUAGCUAGUAGGUGGGGUAAAGGCUCACCUAGGCGACGAUCUCUAGCUGGUCUGAGAGGAUGAUCAGCCACACUGGGACUUAGACCCGGCCCAGCCUCCUACGGAGGCAGCAGUGGGGAAGAUUGCACAAUGUGCGCAAGCCUGAUGCAGCCAUGCCGCGUGUAUUAAGAAGGCUGUAUGGUUGUAAAGGACUGUCGUCGGUGAGGCUUUACCCGCAGAAGAAGCACCUGCUAACUUCGUGCAAGCCGCCGCGGUAAUUC